GUGCUCAUUUCAGCAGCACACAGACUAAAAGUGGAACGAUACGGAGAAGACUAGCACAGCCUCUGCACAAGGAUGAGAGACGCAAGUUCGUGAAGCGUGCCAUGUGUUC
ensembl:snRNA U6 U6 spliceosomal RNA